rnacentral:sRNA from 12 species
GCGGGGUUGAUUCGUCCCCUGCGGAGCGAGCGGCGGGCAUAAGGCAAGAGAAAGCCGGGCAGAAAUGGCCGGAUGGCGAAGC